rnacentral:rRNA from 1 species
GACCCGCGUGGGGGAAAAUGGCUUCGGCCCGUAAACCCCUGUCAUCUGCGAGCAAUCCCGUCAGCUUAACACGUUGACGGUUGAUAGUAGUGGAAGAGGAAGGGACGGCUAACUCUGUGCCAGCAGCCGCGGUAAUACAGAGGUCCCAAGCGUUGUUCGGAUUUACUGGGCGUAAAGGGUGCGUAGGUGGCUGAAAAAGUCUGAUGUGAAAUCUUGGAGCUCAACUCCGAAACUGCAUUGGAUACUGUUCGGCUUGAGGAAUAGAGGGGAGAUUGGAAUUCUCGGUGUAGCAGUGAAAUGCGUAGAUAUCGAGAGGAACACCAGUGGCAAAAGCGAAUCUCUGGACAUUACCUGACACUGAGGCACGAAAGCCAAGGGAGCAAACGGGAUUAGAUACCCCGGUAGUCUUGGCUGUAAACGGUGCGCAUUUGCUGUAAGUGGAUUCGACCCCGCUUGCGGCGUAGCUAACGCGAUAAAUGCGCCGCCUGGGGAGUACGGUCGCAAGAUUAAAACUCAAAGAAAUUGACGGAGGCCUGCACAAGCGGGGGAGUAUGUGCGCUUAUUCGAUGCCACGCGA